AUCCUUUUGUAAUUUAUAAGCAUGAUUUGGGUGUUUAUACUCAGAUAUGAGAUAUGCCUUUGCCUCUAAACUUAUGAUGUUGGCAUAGUACCAAUUUGAUA
rnacentral:snoRNA from 1 species